GUAUAGUGUGUGUGUGUAUAGUGUGUGAGUGUAUAGUGUGUGAGUGUAUAGUGGUGUGUGUAUAGUGUGAGCAUAUUGUGUGAGUGUGUGUUUUGUGCCACUGUAGCUGCUCCAGUCAGGGCUCAGGGAAGUCCGUACGUGCCAAUAUGGGAAAGAACUGUAUAUACACGUGAGAGCCUAUAGAAUUCUAUGUUACAGCCCAUUAUGUAUUUUGUGUAUCUGCUCCCAGACAAGAGAGUGGAGCCUGGGUCGGCUGAUUCUCGGCCUGUGUAUAAUCCUCAGCCCCGUGUGGCACUUGUGUAAGAACAACACUUGCCCCCCUAUAGAAUUUCCCCUCAAACAGGGCUGAGAGCAAGUGCCCCAAUAUCAGUGUUUAAUAAAUCAGCAAGUGCUGGGUCUGUGUCUCCUGAUAACAUUGAGCUUCUCUGCCAGGCACCAGCCCCCCAUACUUUUUACUUUAACCCUGCUCACAUGAGGCUGUGUAUGAGACACAUUAUUGCUAUAUAUAUAUACUUAUUACUCAUCUUUAUGUUCAGAUCCUCUCCUUUCCAUAUUCCUGACCCGUAUUCAAAUCAAUCCAUGGUUGCUAGGGUAAUUUGGAUCCUAGCAACCAGAUUGCUGAAAUAGCUGAUAGUCUGGAGAGCUGCUAUCUGAGUAUGUUGUUAAUAUUAAGCUCAGCAUAUUUAUUCAAGUCUGCACCCACAUUAACCCAUGGACUUGCAAAUGGGAGAGGAGACACCCCUGCCUUGUGCCUCAGUUGAUUGAGAAGGAGGGAGACAGCUUAGAAUUUGGCUACUGGGAGGGUGUAAUAUGCCUUGAGCAAGUAAUAAAGGUGGGAGGGAUACCCAUCUGAUCUAUGGUAGUCUAUAAGUUCACCUACUCUACUGACUGGAAGGCUUUAUCAUUGUUGAGUGAAACCACAAUUCUGCUCUCUAGAUUAUCAUACAUGAUGGAUGUAUUAGUGAAAAGUCUUCUAAUGUUAAGUGUCUGUUGAUGUUCCGGACAUAAAGCCCUUGUGAUUGGGUGACAUUAUAUUCUGCCAACCACCAUAAUGUUUGUGUCAAUGUUAAUGAGUGAGAUUGGCGCAUAUGAGGAGCACUCUUUACCUAAGAACUAUUAGGGGCCUAUUUAUCAUGCUGUGUAAAAACCUCACCGGUGAUGUUGCCCACUGGAGAUGCUUGCUCUGCCAUUGUGGGAAGUAUUCCUUAAAUAUGAAUGUAUUUCACGUUCCAUGCUUCUUAGUUGCUCUCAAGUGCAUGUAAUUUUACUCUACCACUGUUUUUGCCUGCAAGCAGUAUACACAGGGCCACUAUUGAGGGGCACAGUCGUCCCGGGACCAGUGGAUUUCAACUUACAAGGUGGACCUGGUGAAGAGGAAUCUGGUGCUGUCACUGCCGCCCCCGGAGAAGAACAAAGAAGUCACCGGAGGGGGAUGCAGAAGACCAACCACCAAACUUUAGAAAUAAAGGAGUAUCACAGAAGGCGACCACUCCAGCACCAACGGGAAAAAAAGUCCAAAGAAUGUGAUCCUGAUAACCCCGCACAGCUUUCUCCAGAGCCAAGUCUGAAUCAAGAAACUGGAGGCCCAAUGGGACCAGAGGAGGGUUUUGGCAGCAAGAAGAGGCUGUAUGCAGUAUGCCCAUGUUUUUUACAUAUAGAUUUAUAAGUAACAGUUGAAGAGGUCUCACAUUGGAUGGUUAUUACAGAGGGGUGCACGCAGGAGCCAAGUUGCUGGACAUGUGAUCGUAUGUGAGCCAUAGCUUCCUUUAGAUCAUCCUGGAUUUCGUACCAUAGUGAGCCUGGAUUAUCUGAAGAAGGAAGAAAACAACUUUGCGGAGGCUGCAGUGGAGUAUGUAGAUCCGGACAUUGUGCGCUGAAGCCCAAAGCAUCUUGCGCCUGUGUCUUGUGGUAGAGAAUUGUAUAAUUAUCACAGGGCCACCAUCAUGGGGCACAGUCGUCCCGGGCCUAGAGGAUGUCAACUUACAAGGGGGCCUGGGGAAGAAGAAUCCGCUGCUGUCGUUGAUUCUGUUGCCGCUGGAGAAGGAGCCGCCGGAUAAGAAGCCACCGGAGGGGGGUGAAAAAGUAUCUGCUGCUGAAUUUUAGAGCCUGGAAUAUCUGGAAAAAGAAGUAUUUACUAACAACCUCACCACCCACUGCCCAGUUCAACACUACCAGCCGCUGACUGAUUGGACCUCACCACGGUGCUACUUCCUGUCUCCAUUCAGACCUCUGUGAUACACAGACCUGGGACAUGUCUAUACUUUUCUGGCUUUAUGUCUGUAUAUGCCAGUGGGUACAUGAGUAUACAGACUACAUUCAAUGAUGGGGAAUGGAGGGAGAUUCCCAGGAAUGACCAUUAGAAACAGAAUCUCCAACCAGUUAAUCCAGUGUGAGAAUUCUUGGUGGAGCAGCUGUACCCACAGGAGGACUGGCACGUGUCACUCACAGAUGGAGUAUCACAGAAGGCGACCACUCCAGCACCAACGGGAGGAAAGAAAAAGUCCAGAGAAUGACUGCGCAGCACAGUGCAAUAGUAAAAGCCUUUCCAGAAUUGUCAGCUGGGCAUUUGGAUUCAAACAGCGGGGCAUUUAUGAUGGCUAGCCGCAGAGGUCAGCGCACACUACGGCAUCAACUUGCACAGUUUCUGAAGUGAUUUCAGCGACAUAUAUGUUGCCCAGUAGCCUGACCUAACCUGAUUGCCAAUAAUAUAGUAUCUACAGGGGUGGACCAUGCACGGAGAGAGAUAACGCAGCAGAGACAGCACACUUUCUGGGUCAGUUAGCACAUUACCUUUAGCACAAUCCUCCGUGAUCUCUGCAAUGAAGAUGUCUCGAUCAACAUGCCUGCUCCGAUCAGCAUGUGGUUUCACGGGCAUCUGCGGAGCAAUCAAGGAUAUUUUCAGGCCGUCUGUUAGACUGAGAAUCACUGCAGACAGAUUUCCAGCAUGAGAUGCUCCAGCUACUGUUGAACUACAAAUCCCACAAUCCCUGGAUGUUGUUGGCAGAUAAGAAUCCCAGGCAGCAUAAAAGAAGAAGAUGAUUGGUUGAAGAAUGGGAUGGUAUAUUCCUCAGUGGAAGAAUAUCUGCAGAGAAGUCGGAGGAAGCAAGAGAAAUGGGGGGACUGAGAGGUUUCGGGUGUUUAAUAAAAAGUACAAGUAAAAUGUGUUGCUAAUAUGGCGCUGCUUCAAUUCUAUGUGAAGAAUGAAUAGAAUAAAGGAAUGUUUCUCCUGUG